rnacentral:rRNA from 1 species
CCCUUAGAUGUCCGGGGCUGCACGCGCGCUACACUGAAGGAAUCAGCGUGCUAAAACCAUUGUCGAAAGGCAUUGGUAAACCCAUUAAAAUCCUACGUGAUUGGGAUCGGGAAUUGCAAUUAUUUCCCAUGAACGAGGAAUUCCCAGUAAGUGUGGGUCAUAAGCUCGCGUUGAUUACGUCCCUGCCCUUUGUACACACCGCCCGUCGCUGCCCGGGACUGAGCCGUUUCGAGAAAAGCGGGGACUGCUGCUGUCGGGGCUUUCGGGCCUUGGCUUCGGUGGAAACCGCUUUAAUCGCAGUGGCUUGAACCGGGCAAAAGUCGUAACA